UCGAGAAUAUUGGUCAAUGGGGGAAACCCUGAACCAGCGACGUCGCGUGUUUGAAGAAGCCCUUCGGGGUGUAAAGAACUUUUCUGGGGGGAGAAUCCGCCGCAAGGCGGAUGACGGUACUCCAGGAAUAAGGGGGGGCAAACUCUGUGCCAGCAGCAGCGGUAAUACAGAGCCCCCAAGCGUUAUCCGGAUUUAUUGGGCGUAGAGAGUCUGUAGAUGGUUUGAAAAGUCUUCGGUUAAAGCUCCAGGGCUCAACCUUGGGAAUGCUGAAGAUACUUUUAAACUAGAGGGCGUUAGGGGUUGGUAGAACGGUCGGUGUAGGGGUGAAAUCCGUUGAUAUCGACCGGAAUCCUAAAAGCGAAGGCAUCCAACUGGAGCGACCCUGACAUUGAGAGACGAAAGCGUGGGGAUCAAAAAGG
rnacentral:rRNA from 1 species